rnacentral:lncRNA from 10 species
GGAAAAAAAAAUUCCCGUUAAAAAUAAGAGAAAAAAUUUGACUUCCACUCUUAUUUCUUAGAUAAUUUGUUUUAGAAAACUUGUAAGUGAAAUUUAUUUUCCUGUCUUUUUAAAAUGUAUGUAAAUCUUUUUUAAAAGCUAAAUAAGCUUAUUGCUAGCUUUGAGACUCAGGAAUGUUUUUCUCAAAUACUUGAGAACUAUCUUCUUGCAAUGUCAUCAAGAAAUAUAGUGCCCCAUCUUCCAGUUUCUGCGAGAGGUUAAGAGCUUAACUUUGGAGGGAAUUUAGCUUUAAGUUACAAAACUUGUCCUAAAGAUGUAGGAAGCUUAUUUUUCCUUUGGAUAAAGCUAAUUAACUAACACAGAUGGUCACCAAUUACCAAGUGAAUUUAAGAUGAACUAUGUGUGACAAAUGGUGCUGUCAAGUCCUCUUACUUGAGGACUAGUUACUGUUUAUCUUGAGAGUACGUAUGUAAUGGGUUGUAUCUGUUUGGCUGUAUAAAAGGAUGAGACAUCUUUCUGUCUUUGCAAUCUCUUGGUAAAUUAACAUUCUGGUUUAAUGCUCAUUCGAUUUAAAAAAAAAAACUUUUUUUUUCUUUUCUUUGUAAAGAAGUUUUCUGUGUUGGGAGAAGAUUUUUUUAAAUUGUAUUUCCCCAACAAUUCUGGUGAAAAGGGUGAGAUGACUGACAGUUACUGAAUUGAGCAGAUGAGUUGAAGGUCUGUGGCCAUGCAACAGUCAGAAAUAUACAGACAUACACCGGAGCAUGUUAUCAGUCUAAACCUCAUGAACAGAGACAUGCACUAGCUACUGUGUGGAAUUAUGCAAAAAGCAGACUUUACUUCUUUUAAGUUUCAAAUGCAUCAGCGUCCAGAAGAUACCACAUCAAAGGGUAUUGUGGCCAAGGGAAGCCAACUACCUUCCAUACUCCACAAUGGAACCCAUCUAAAAGGGUUGCUUGAUGGCAAUACUUAAAUCCUUUCUUCUAAAGCUCAGCUGGGAGAAGUUACACUGAUGUACCCACAAGGAACCGUGAGACUUAAAGUGGCAAGGACAUGGAAGAAUCUGCUGGAAGAAGUCAGCCACCUACGUUAACCAGGAGAUUUUAUUUACAUAAAAGUCUCCCCCAGUAAAGAUAAUUGCAUUGGAACAGACUUUUUGAAAUGUUGAUGAUCACCCACAGGACUAUCUAUGUGAAAAUAAUAAUGACCUUAAACCAACAACAACUUGAAAACUUGAUUUGUGUUUCUUAUAAGAAGCCAACUCCUUAGAGUGACUGGACUGAGGAUUCCACAAGGAAUUUGGACUUGAAAUUUUCAGAAGUUAUUGAUAUUGGUACUGAACUCAACUGAAGAGGUAUUCUUGCAAACAUAUUACUAGUUUCAUAGACUGCCUUGCUGUCUCAUUCAUAGCACGGUGGUUUCAGUUACUUUAAGGAUCACGUUUUUCUAGAAAACAAAUUUAUUUUUUACAUUACUUUUUCUUUCUGUACUCCCAGUAAUGGUUCCCACAAUCUCAUUUCCGAUCAGCUCCAAAUUGUACUCCAUAUAAAUAGGUUUUGAUUUACAAAUUGAAAAAUCUGAUUAUUUAUAAAGUAAAAAUGAAAAAAUCUUCAUUAGUCAUUUUUGAUAAUAACAUUUUAGCUAUUUUAGGUAAAAGUAGCUAAAAUGCAUGCAAGUACUUGGGCCCUAAAUUUGAUACAAAAAUGUUUUCACUGAUUUGAUUGGAGCAUGAGGUAGAAAAAAAUUAAUAGUAGACAAACAGAAAUCUAGCAUUUACACAUAGAGGUUGAAAAGACAGGUCUAAUGUCAUUCAAUUAACUUAGAGAUCCAAGUUGUGUCCAAUCUCAAAAUACUUAAAUAAACAAAGGUGAAUAUCUGUCAUUAAUGUAGAUUUAGUCAACUGCUACAAAAGUAUGACUAUUGAUUAAGGCCCAAUGCAAGAAAAAAAAGGCCCAUAAGACAGGUUUGUCCUCAACACUUAAUGAGAACCUUACACAUGAAGCACUGGAACUUUACUCUGUCCCAUUCAACAGCUACCUCAUAAUGAGGCUUUGAUAGUAGUUGAAGACUAUUCAUAUCUUUACGUCACACAUCAGAGAACUAUUAUUUGGGAAGACAGAACAAUUACUAAAAGACCUACAUUUUCAUAAAAAUGUAAUGGAACUUAUGUGAUUGACUGAAACUCAAAAUUUUUUGGGGGGUGGCCUUGCAAGGAAAACUUUUAGAUCAUCAGGUUUCACUGUAAAGCUACUUUCUAGUUUUAGAUUGGAUAAUGCUUUACAAGGAACUGCCAAAUAAUACCUAGAUAUUACCCAUUUGAAAAUACAAGCAAUAAGGUCAUCACAGCAAUUUUAAAAAUAAUUGUGUAACUAAGGAAAGUUUUCUGCAUUGCUAAUUAUAUUAUUCAGGCUUCUACAGAGAGACAGAGCUUAUAGUAUAUGGAUAUGGAUAUAUGUAUGUAUAUGAGAAGAUUUAUGUAUGUAUGUAUAUGAGAAGGUAUAAUUCAGUCUGAGUGUGAAGGCCUGAGAACCUGGAGUGCCAAUGUCCAAGGACAGGAAAAGAUUCAUGCCCCAGUUCAAACAGAAGCAAAUUUGUCCUUCCUCUAUCUUUUUUUUUUUUUUUUUGAAACAGAGUCUCACUCUGUCCCCCAGGGCUGGAAUGAAAUGGUGCAGUCUUGGCUUUCUUCCCUCAUUCAAGUGAUUCUUGUGCCUCAGCCUCCCGAAUAGCUGGGACUACAGGCGCACACCACCACGCUUGGCUAGUUUUUGUAUUUUUAGUAGAGAUGGGGUUUCACUAUGUUGGCCAGGCUGUUCUCAAACUCCUGACCUCGUGAUCUGCCCACUUCGGCCUCCCAAAGUGCUGGGAUUACAGGUGUGAGCCACUGCACCUAGCCUUCCUCUGCCUUUUUAUUGCACCAACCUAACAUUCAGACCCUCAAGGGAUUGGAUGAUGCCCCCUUGCAUUGUGGUGGGAGGAUCUGCUUUACUUAGUCCAACAUAAACCCAUCUCUUCCAGAAACAGCCUUACAAACAUGCUCAGAAAUAAUGUUUAAGCAGCUGUUUCGGCAUAUCCUGGACCACUGAAGUAGAUACAUAAAGUUAACCAUCACACUAGUUAAGAAUCUGAUGUAACCAUUAUCUAUUUAUAUGAUAAAUUCAAAGCUUAUUCCUACAACCAAUAGUGUAGAGACUUUUAAAAAUGUACUUGUUUUGUUGUUUUAUCAGAUUUCUGGCAAUUGCAUUGUGUUGUAUGUUACUGUCGACUUUCGGGUUAUUUAGAGGGCUGCAACUUGUCCAGAGAAAGAUGAAAAUAGCAAUGAAGUCAGAAAUUUGUAGUGUCACUAUUUUAUACUAACAAGGAGUGUAUUGUCUGGGUAAAUACAAAUUGGAAAAGAAACAAUUCUCUUUGUUGAAAAUACGGGAAGAGACAUCCAUCCCCUCCCUUUCUUAGGGCAUUUACUUUAGAAAACUUGCAGAUGGAAAUUUUUGUUUGUGUCUUUAAAAAUGUGUGUAAAUCUUUUUAAAUGUCAAAUAAGCCUCUUGCCUGGUGAAAGGCUCGGGAAUGUCUUACUCUAUGACCUGGGGACCAUCUCAUUGAAAUGUCUUCAUCAUCAAAGAACAUAGUGCCCAUCUCCCAAUUUCUGUGGGUGGGUGGAAACCUAGCUUCAGAAGGUAUUUAGCUUAAAAUUGCAAAACUAUCUUAUGUUAUAAAGAUAUGAUAAUUUAUUUUUCCUUUGGAUAAUACACAGAACAUCAUUCCAAGUAUCCAGUGAAUUUAGGAUGAACUAUGUGUAACAAAUAGUGCUGUCAAGUCCUAUCUAGCACUUGAAGACUAGUUAUUAUUUAUCUUGAGAACAUGUACAUAAUGGAUUGUAUCUGCUUGGCUAUAUAAAAUAAUGAGAUUUAUUUCUGUUUUGCGAUAUCUUAGCACACCUACAAUCUGGUUUAAUGCUUAUUCAAUAAUACAACUGUGUUCUUUCUUUUAUGUUGU